GACGAACGCUGGCGGCGUGCCUAACACAUGCAAGUCGAGCGAGAUGCCUAUAACGGAUUCCUUCGGGAUGAAGACUUAGGUAUUCUAGCGGCGGAUGGGUGAGUAACGCGUGAGAAACCCUGCCUUUCACAAGGGAACAGCCUCGAGAAAUCGGGAUUAAUGCCCUAUGAUACCUAAAGAUCGCAUGAUCUUUUCGUUAAAGCGUAAAGCGGUGAAAGAUGGUCUCGCGUCCCAUUAGCUAGUUGGUGAGAUAAAAGCUCACCAAGGCUACGAUGGGUAGCCGGCCUGAGAGGGCGACCGGCCACACUGGAACUGAGACACGGUCCAGACUCCUACGGGAGGCAGCAGUGGGGAAUCUUGCACAAUGGAGGAAACUCUGAUGCAGCGACGCCGCGUGAACGAUGAAGGUUUUCGGAUCGUAAAGUUCUGUCCUAGGGGAAGAUAAUGACGGUACCGUUAGGAGGAAGCACCGGCUAACUACGUGCCAGCAGCCGCGGUAAC
rnacentral:rRNA from 1 species